CCUACGGGUGGCAGCAGUGAGGAAUAUUGGUCAAUCGACGCAAGUCUGAACCAGCCAUGCCGCGUGCAGGAAGACGGCUCUAUGAGUUGUAAACUGCUUUUGUACGAGGGUAAACGCAGAUACGCGUAUCUGUCUGCACGUAUCGUACGAAUAAGGAUCGGCUAACUCCGUGCCAGCAGCCGCGGUAAUACGGAGGAUUCAAGCGUUAUCCGGAUUUAUUGGGUUUAAAGGGUGCGUAGGCGGUCGGAUAAGUUAGAGGUGAAAUCCCGAGGCUCAACUUCGGAAUUGCCUCUGAUACUGUUCGGCUAGAGAGUAGUUGCGGUAGGCGGAAUGUAUGGUGUAGCGGUGAAAUGCUUAGAGAUCAUACAGAACACCGAUUGCGAAGGCAGCUUACCAAGCUACUUCUGACGUUGAGGCACGAAAGCGUGGGGAGCAAACAGGAUUAGAUACCCCUGUAGUC
rnacentral:rRNA from 1 species